rnacentral:rRNA from 1 species
CCUAGCCCUUCAGAGGGGGACAACAGUUGGAAACGACUGCUAAUACCGCAUACGAUCUAAUCUCGGCAUCGAGGAUGGAUGAAAGGUGGCCUCUAUUUAUAAGCUAUCACUGAAGGAGGGGAUUGCGUCUGAUUAGCUAGUUGGAGGGGUAACGGCCCACCAAGGCGAUGAUCAGUAGCCGGUCUGAGAGGGUGAACGGCCACAUUGGGACUGAGACACGGCCCAG